rnacentral:rRNA from 1 species
CCUCGGGAGGCAGCAGUGGGGAAUAUUGCACAAUGGGCGCAAGCCUGAUGCAGCGACGCCGCGUGAGGGAUGACGGCCUUCGGGUUGUAAACCUCUUUCAGUAGGGAAGAAGCGAAAGUGACGGUACCUGCAGAAGAAGCGCCGGCUAACUACGUGCCAGCAGCCGCGGUAAUACGUAGGGCGCAAGCGUUAUCCGGAAUUAUUGGGCGUAAAGAGCUCGUAGGCGGUUUGUCGCGUCUGCCGUGAAAGUCCGGGGCUCAACUCCGGAUCUGCGGUGGGUACGGGCAGACUAGAGUGAUGUAGGGGAGACUGGAAUUCCUGGUGUAGCGGUGAAAUGCGCAGAUAUCAGGAGGAACACCGAUGGCGAAGGCAGGUCUCUGGGCAUUAACUGACGCUGAGGAGCGAAAGCAUGGGGAGCGAACAGGAUUAGAUACCCUGGUAGUCCAUGACGUACGUAGGCGACGUAGUGGUGG